rnacentral:rRNA from 1 species
UACGGGGGGAGCAAGCGUUGUUCGGAUUUACUGGGCGUAAAGGGCGCGUAGGCGGCCACUGCAAGUCAGUUGUGAAAUCUCCGGGCUUAACCCGGAAAGGUCAACUGAUACUGCAGGGCUAGAGUGCAGAAGGGGCAACUGGAAUUCUCGGUGUAGCGGUGAAAUGCGUAGAUAUCGGGAGGAACACCAGUGGCGAAGGCGACUUCCUGGCCUGUUCUUGACGCUGAGGCGCGAAAGCUAGGGUAGCAAACGGG